AUGAACGCUGGCGGCGUGCCUAAUACAUGCAAGUCGAGCGAACAGACGAGGAGCUUGCUCCUCUGACGUUAGCGGCGGACGGGUGAGUAACACGUGGAUAACCUACCUAUAAGACUGGGAUAACUUCGGGAAACCGGAGCUAAUACCGGAUAAUAUAUUGAACCGCAUGGUUCAAUAGUGAAAGACGGUUUUGCUGUCACUUAUAGAUGGAUCCGCGCCGCAUUAGCUAGUUGGUAAGUUAACGGCUUACCAAGGCAACGAUGCGUAGCCGACCUGAGAGGGUGAUCGGCCACACGGGAACUGAGACACGGCCCAGACUCCUACGGGAGGCAGCAGAUGGGAAUCUUCCGCAAUGGGCGAAAGCCUUACGGAGCAACGCCGCGUGAGUGAUGAAGGUCUUCGGAUCGUAAAACUCUGUUAUUAGGGAAGAACAAAUGUGUAAGUACCUAUGCACGUCUUGACGGUACCUAAUCAGAAAGCCACGGCUAACUACGUG
rnacentral:rRNA from 1 species